rnacentral:rRNA from 1 species
GUGUCAGCAGCCGCGGUAAUACGGGGGGUGCAAGCGUUGUUCGGAAUCACUGGGUGUAAAGGGCAGGUAGGCGGGCCGAUAAGUCGGAUGUGAAAACCCCGUGGCUUAACCCGGGGCUGGCAUUCGAAACUGUUGGUCUUGAGUGCGGAAGAGGGAGAUGGAAUUCCUGGUGUAACGGUGAAAUGUGUAGAUAUCAGGAAGAACACCGGUGGCGAAGGCGGUCUCCUGGUCCGCUACUGACGCUGAUCUGCGAAAGCUAGGGGAGCAAACAGGAUUAGAUACCCCGGUAGUCC